rnacentral:rRNA from 1 species
GAUGAACGCUGGCGGCGUGCCUAAUACAUGCAAGUCGAGCGAACGGACGAGAAGCUUGCUUCUCUGAUGUUAGCGGCGGACGGGUGAGUAACACGUGGAUAACCUACCUAUAAGACUGGGAUAACUUCGGGAAACCGGAGCUAAUACCGGAUAAUAUUUUGAACCGCAUGGUUCAAAAGUGAAAGACGGUCUUGCUGUCACUUAUAGAUGGAUCCGCGCUGCAUUAGCUAGUUGGUAAGGUAACGGCUUACCGAGGCAACGAUGCAUAGCCGACCUGAGAGGGUGAUCGGCCACACUGGAACUGAGACACGGUCCAGACUCCUACGGGAGGCAGCAGUAGGGAAUCUUCCGCAAUGGGCGAAAGCCUGACGAAGCAACGCCGCGUGAGUGAUGAAGGUCUUCGGAUCGUAAAACUCUGUUAUUAGGGAAGAACAUAUGUGUAAGUAACUGUGCACAUCUUGACGGUACCUAAUCAGAAAGCCACGGCUAACUACGUG